rnacentral:rRNA from 1 species
GCCGCGAGGCGGAGCAAAUCCCAGAAAUAACGUCCCAGUUCGGACUGCAGCCUGCAACCCGGCUGCACGAAGCCGGAAUCGCUAGUAAUCGCAGAUCAGCAUGCUGCGGUGAAUACGUUCCCGGGUCUUGUACACACCGCCCGUCACACCAUGGGAGUUUGUAACGCCCAAAGUCGGUGGCCUAACCUUUAUGGAGGGAGCCGCCUAAGGCGGGACAGAUGACUGGGGUGAAGUCGUAACAAGGUAUC